CAAUCAGGAUGAUCCUUUGGCACGCAAGCCUCCUGGCAACUGUCUGCGUCGUCGUUGCAACAGACCAAACCGCGGCACCAAAUAGUGCGCAGGGCACCAUGAGUCCGGCAUAUAUUGUCCGCUUAGCGCGGGUACUGACACCCCAGUCGGUCCGCAUUACGCGUGACAAUGCCCCUACGACUCCGGUCAGCUUACCUCGCAAGCCCUCGAUGUGCGGGAUGAAGUUCAACCGCUCGCUGACCGUGAUACCGAGGUACCGAUAUUCGCGCAUAUAUGGCAGGCUUGCUCCUGCAAACCGUACCAAUGGCGGCCGUUGAAGUUUGCCCUUGAGCAGCACGAUCGCUGUAUUGCUAGUUGAAACGGCAACGCCGACAUCAACUCCCCAAGCGCCUACGAUGGACAUCAUUUCUUCUCCUUUUCGAUCGAGCUCUGUACGGGCGUUUCCCUCGAUGUGGAGGAGCAGGUCGUAGGCAUACGCGCUGAGCGCGCCAUGUGGCUCCAAGCCGUUCCAUAUGAAUGGACCACUUAUGGACCCCGGUGGGCAACCUCUUAUCACCGGAACAGUGGCUACUCCAUGCUUGCUGACGAUGCUCGCACUCCGGCCGGAGAAGAAGCUACGCCACAAGCCUGCUUCACGGCAGCCCAGCUCUAGGAGACGACGUAAUGCAGCAUUCCACUCGACGUUGUCGAAGGCUCCCUUGAAAUCCACGAAGAUUCGAGCACGUAUUUCGCCCGGCUGGCUGAAACCGUGCUCACGACGUGCCUCCAAGCAUCCUCCACACAGCGUAUUUCUCGAAAUCCAAAUUGCCAUCUGCGGCCAUCCGGUAUGGUGUCCUUCAAACGAUUCACCAUGAUUCCCUCUAGCACUUUUCCCAGCACUGGCAAUAGACAAAUACCCCGAAAUGAAGCAGGAUCCGUCCUGUCCUUAUCGGGCCCCUUCACGAGUGGAACCACCCUAGGGUGCUUCCAUUCCGCAGGGAAAUAUCCUGUCUCCAGGCAGCGGGAGUACAACGCUGUCAUUUGCUGAGGAUGGCACGCCACACUGCCUUGCAAAUGGCACCUGUGAUGCCGUCCAUGCCGGGAGAGCGUCUGUUCUUCAACCUGGCCACGCAAGCAUCAACCUCAGAAGCUCUGACGGCCGGUGGAGCCUCGGACGGUAUGGCAAUGUGCGCAUUCGACUCCGCAACAGGGAAAAGGUUGCGGAGGAGCACACUCGCACAGUCGCUCCAUGUUUCGACCGGCCCACCAUCCGUCUGAAGGCAUCCAAUCUCCGUGCUCUUUUUGUGGCCUCGGCAAAUCCUGUAGACGUGCCCCCAUGGACUGUCUGUGUUGUCUUCCACGAAGCGUCGCCAGUUGUCUUCCUUCGUUCUCAGGGUAAACUUCUUAUAUUGCGCUGAGGAGAUCCUCAGCUCAAUCACAAGUUGCUCUGCUUCAUCGGUCUCGUGCCGACGUGCGUCCUGAAGCCGCCGCCUCAGUCUCCUGACCUCUCGGCGUUUCGAGUGUAGUUCGGCAGUCCACCAAACUAUUUUCCUCGCGGCUCUCGGCGUGCUGCGUCCCAGCACUCUUUCGCACACACUGUGCACUACAGAGCGCAAUGCAGACACUUGGUCGUCCAACGGCGAUUCGGCGAUGUUCUCCGUCAAGUCGGAUGUCUUCCUUACCACUUCAUCCUCGAAAAGUCGCCAGCGCGCAUUGGAAAGCUUCCAGGAUGGCACAGGAACAACGCUCUCAACUGUGUCGGUCGGAUCACGCGUCACCUCAACAUGGAUCAUGUUGUGGUCGCUGGUGUCCCAUUCCCUCUCUUUCCAGUCGUAUGUGGCCCACAUGGUCGCUGCUUCAUUGGCGAUUGUUACAUCGAUGUCGCUGUGGCGGUUGUUGCGGUUAUCGAAUGAAAACACCCGACUGGCUUCGUUGAGCACGCCGGCUCGGUUCUCGGUAAUCCACUCAGACAGCAGCUCGCCCCGUGCAUAUUUAGCUUGUCCCCGAGCAUGCUCGGAGAGUUUGCGAAACCACGCUGGGGAUACUGCGUUCGCGUCGAGCCCAAAGAUGACAGGCGUGCGGCUGGCCAGCAGCAGCACCGCAUCGAGAUACC
rnacentral:lncRNA from 1 species